rnacentral:rRNA from 1 species
UACGUAGGGGUCAAGCGUUGUCCGGAUUAUUGGGCGUAAAGCGUGCGCAGGCGGUUUUGUAAGCCAGAUGUGAAAUCCCCGGGCUUAACCUGGGAAUGGCAUUUGGGACUGCAAGGCUCGAGUGCGGCAGAGGAGACUGGAAUUCCUGGUGUAGCAGUGAAAUGCGUAGAUAUCAGGAGGAACACCGAUGGCGAAGGCAGGUCUCUGGGCUGACACUGACGCUCAUGCACGAAAGCGUGGGGAGCAAACAGG